AGAAUUGAAAUUGGGCCAUCUUUGCCGAGAGAGGCCGCCUUCUCUUAGGCUAGCGGUCUUCUACUUCUAGUCAACUGCUUUAUCACGGGCUUCCCUGUUUCCUGGGCUCUGCUCGCUCGUCUAUGCUCCGACCCAGAAAGUAAUAAAAUAAAAACGAUAUUUCCUUGCAGAUUUCAAACUUGUCGUAAAAAAAAAAAAUGGAAUGAAAUAGUGAAUCAAGAUCUAGAUGGAUCCCUAUUUUUUU
rnacentral:lncRNA from 1 species